rnacentral:rRNA from 1 species
UGGGGAAUAUUGCACAAUGGGCGCAAGCCUGAUGCAGCCAUGCCGCGUGUGUGAAGAAGGCCUUCGGGUUGUAAAGCACUUUCAGCGGGGAGGAAGGCGUUAAGGUUAAUAACCUUGGCGAUUGACGUUACCCGCAGAAGAAGCACCGGCUAACUCCGUGCCAGCAGCAGCGGUAAUACGGAGGGUGCAAGCGUUAAUCGGAAUUACUGGGCGUAAAGCGCACGCAGGCGGUUGAUUGAGUCAGAUGUGAAAUCCCCGGGCUUAACCCGGGAAUUGCAUCUGAUACUGGUCAGCUAGAGGCUUGUAGAGGGGGGUAGAAUUCCAUGUGUAGCGGUGAAAUGCGUAGAGAUGUGGAGGAAUACCGGUGGCGAAGGCGGCCCCCUGGACAAAGACUGACGCUCAGGUGCGAAAGCGUGGGGAGCAAACAGG